ACAAGUUUUAUCUCUUUAUCUGAUCCAUACUCCCGGAUCUAAAACUAACCUCUUGGUCUAAUCCAUACUCACGGAUCUAAAACUAGCCUCUUGAUCUGAUCCCUACUCACGGAUCUAAAACUAACCUCUUGGUCUAAUCCAUACUCACGGAUCUAAAACUAGCCUCUUGAUCUGAUCCCUACUCACGGAUCUAAAACUAACCUCUUGAUCUCAUUAUCCAACUCAUCCUUUUAUCACACACCAACUAUCUCACCUACCCAUGUUCUACCCAACAUAUUUGUAGAUAUAAAAUACAUAUACAGUUUAACAAAUUUAAAAACUAUAUAAAACAUCCAUUCCACACUCAUCUCAAAUAAAC
rnacentral:lncRNA from 1 species